UACGAAGGUGGCAAGCGUUGUUCGGAUUUACUGGGCGUACAGGGAGCGUAGGCGGUUGGAUAAGCCCUCCGUGAAAUCUCCAGGCUUAACCUGGAAAGUGCAGAGGGGACUGUUCAGCUAGAGGAUGGGAGAGGAGCGCGGAAUUCCCGGUGUAGCGGUGAAAUGCGUAGAGAUCGGGAGGAAGGCCGGUGGCGAAGGCGGCGACCUGGGUGGAUACUGACGCUGAGGCGCGAAAGCGUGGGGAGCAAACAGG
rnacentral:rRNA from 1 species